AAGGCUGGAGCGAAUAUGUGGUUGGCUGGCUGGCUGUUGACUACUCCCUGGUGCAGAAGAUUUCAAUGGUGGCAUUAGGUCAUGGAUGUGUCUUCAGGAUGUCCUUCUUUCUUGUGCUCUGCUCCAUUCAUUUUCUUGCGACACUGAGCUACAACAGGAUGCUAACUUUGGUGGGAUAUGCGAUGUUUGAUAAGAAAUUCAUAAGGAAGAGACGCAUGGGCUCGUGGAAAUCUACAAUAAUUUGGACAACUAUUCUAUGCGUCUGUUGUACCUCCAUAGUCUGCUAUGAAUUUGUUAUGUCGAUCUUCAGGGAAGGAGAAGCCUGGACACUCUUUAUAUUAUAGUGAGGAUUCUGAGCUGUGCUUUUCUUUUAUUGCCUUCUAAAUACUUUAGCAUCCACAAAUAAAUUGCCUCACCUUAUUA